rnacentral:rRNA from 1 species
GACGAACGCUGGCGGCGUGCUUAACACAUGCAAGUCGAACGCUGAAGCCCCAGCUUGCUGGGGUGGAUGAGUGGCGAACGGGUGAGUAACACGUGAGUAACCUGCCCAUCACUCUGGGAUAAGCGCUGGAAACGGCGUCUAAUACUGGAUACGAGCAGCGACCGCAUGGUCAGUUGCUGGAAAGACUGGUUCGGUGAUGGAUGGACUCGCGGCCUAUCAGCUUGUUGGUGAGGUAAUGGCUCACCAAGGCGACGACGGGUAGCCGGCCUGAGAGGGUGACCGGCCACACUGGGACUGAGACACGGCCCAGACUCCUACGGGAGGCAGCAGUGGGGAAUAUUGCACAAUGGGCGCAAGCCUGAUGCAGCAACGCCGCGUGAGGGAUGACGGCCUUCGGGUUGUAAACCUCUUUUAGUAGGGAAGAAGCCUUCGGGUGACGGUACCUGCAGAAAAAGCACCGGCUAACUACGUGCCAGCAGCCGCCGUAAAAC